UCCUACGGGGGGCAGCAGUGAGGAAUAUUGGUCAAUGGGCGGGAGCCUGAACCGGCCAAGUCGCGUGAGGGAAGACGGUCCUAUGGAUUGUAAACCUCUUUAGGCGGGGAGCAAUGCCGGGCACGCGUGCCCGGAGGGAGAGUACCCGCAGAAUAAGCAUCGGCUAACUCCGUGCCAGCAGCCGCGGUAAUACGGAGGAUGCGAGCGUUAUCCGGAUUUAUUGGGUUUAAAGGGUGCGUAGGCGGAUUUUUAAGUCAGCGGUAAAAUGUCCGGGCUCAACCAGGGCCGGCCGUUGAAACUGGGGG
rnacentral:rRNA from 1 species